AAAAACAUUCAUUAUAAAAAGGUCCUAUACAUGCCAUUUAUAACCUUGGCCAAAAUAACUCAACAACUACCGAAGUGGUUGCUAGAUAGUGUGAUAGAUCUUCGACAAACUUUCAACCGAUCAAGCUUCUGAUAAUCUACGAAACAAAAGAAAAUAACUACGUAAGCAACUAGUGCUUAGUAAGCUCGUAUAAACUCAAACAUAACUUACCAUUCUUAAGCUCAAUUUAUAAAAUGUGCAUAACAUCUUUACUAUACUCAUAAGCUUAAUACAAUCCUAUAAGCAUCACCAAACUCACAAAUUAGUAGGCUCAUGUAUAAUGCAUAUAGAAAAUCAACCAUUUCACAAAUGAAUCUUCAUGAACAUAACAUUCAUCACAUAAUCAUAUAGUUCCAUUCAAUUCACUUGCAUUCAUCCAAAUUUACCUUUCAUAAAUUUAUGAGCAAUUAUCCAUUUAAACACAUGCCUUGCCAAUUACCUUUACUUACCCGUUGAACCAUCUAGAAUUACAUCGGAUACUUAAGAAUGCUCACACAUAGUGUGCCUUCCCAUAUAACUAUAACCUUUCUUUUUCAAUAGUGCUCACACGAGCUAUGAAAUGGGCCUGUUCACACGAGUUGUGUGUUGGAAUGGUAGCUACACGAUGCUGCUCACACGAGCUAUGGAGAAUCCGCAAUAAAUGCAAGACCUUAGCCAUUGGUAAGGCAUUCAAGACCAACACCUGAAACACGAAAUCCCUAAUAACAUGUCAUUCAUAUCCUAAAAAUUCUUAAGGUUCAAAUGAGAUUAUUUAUCCAUCAAUUACUCAAAGCAUCGAUAUAUAUCCAUUUUCAAGUCAGUUUAUAACUAACACAACAUGACCGAUAAACAAUCAAACCAUCAUUAAUAAUAUUAUAAUUUAUACAAACUUACCUCGACAACUAUGGUUGCAAUAACAGAGUUGAACUCUAGUCUAAAGCUUUAGUUUUUCCUCUAUUUAAGUCCGGUUGUUAUUUAUCUUGAUCUAAAUAAAUAGUUUCAUUCAAUUAAGUACUUCAAUUAACCUCAAGUAUUCAACACAAUUUAUAAUUCAUAUUAUUAUAAAAUUACAAAGUUACCCCUCUCAUUUUAACUUUUCACAAAUUAGUCUUUAAGCUCGUAACUUAAAAUUUAACCAUUUUAACCUAAACCCAUGUUAACUGAUUCUACUAGGGAUCUUGAACAACCCAUAAUUACCAACAUUUCACAUUAAAACCAAUGGAUUUUCACUUUCAAUAAUUUAAUCCCUAAUCUCAAAUUAUCAAAAACUAUUUAACAAAACAAGUUUGUUUGACAACCAAGAUUAAUAAUCUAUCAACUAACAUCAAAACACAUUCAAACUCAACUAUGGAAAGUCCCUCAACCUUUAACAAUUUUGCAAAUUAACCACCCGAGUUAAGUAGUUUAAGCUAAAACGAGCUCAAAAACAUAAAAAUCAAUAAAAACGAGGCUUAAUUACAUACCAUGCAAGGUGAAACACCAUGACCGAAAGCUUCUCCCCCUUUCUAAUGGCUAAUCGGUUUUGAAACAAUCAAAUAAAGAAGAUUAUGAUUUUAACUUAAUUAAUUUUAUGUUUAUUUACUAAUUUACCAUCUUACCCUUGUUAUUAAUUAAAAACUUCAAUUAAACCUUUUCCAUAACUAUCCACUAACUUAAUUAUGGCAUAAUUACCAUCUAAGUUCAUUAACUAUCCCUUCCAUAGCCAUUUAAUCAUUUUAACU
rnacentral:lncRNA from 1 species